rnacentral:rRNA from 1 species
GAUUAACGCUGGCGGCAUGCCUAAUACAUGCAAGUCGAACGGAAGCAGCAAUGCUUUAGUGGCGAACGGGUGAGUAACACGUAGGGAACCUACCUAUACGACGAGGAUAACUACUGGAAACGGUAGCUAAAACUGGAUAGGAUCAAUUGAGGCAUCUUGAUUGAUUUAAAGAUCCUUCGGGAUUACGUAGAGAUGGCCCUGCGGCGCAUUAGCUAGUUGGUGAGGUAACGGCCCACCAAGGCGACGAUGCGUAGCUGAGCUGAGAGGCUAAACAGCCACACUGGGACUGAGACACGGCCCAGACUCCUACGGGAGGCAGCAGUAGGGAAUUUUCGGCAAUGGGGGAAACCCUGACCGAGCAAUGCCGCGUGAACGAUGAAGGUCUUCGGAUUGUAAAGUUCUGUGAUUGGGGAAGAAUGGUAUUCUUAGGGAAUGAGGAGUACAUGACGGUACCCGAUUAGAAAGCCCCGGCUAACUAUGUGCCAGCAGCCGCGU